rnacentral:siRNA from 1 species
GCUGCUGAGUCUUCUUCGGUUGUA